GUAGGGAAUAUUGGACAAUGGGCGAAAGCCUGAUCCAGCAAUGCCGCGUGAGUGAUGAAGGCCUUAGGGUUGUAAAGCUCUUUUACCCGAGAUGAUAAUGACAGUAUCGGGAGAAUAAGCUCCGGCUAACUCCGUGCCAGCAGCCGCGGUAAUACGGAGGGAGCUAGCGUUGUUCGGAAUUACUGGGCGUAAAGCGCACGUAGGCGGCGAUUUAAGUCAGAGGUGAAAGCCCGGGGCUCAACCCCGGAACUGCCUUUGAGACUGGAUUGCUAGAAUCUUGGAGAGGCGAGUGGAAUUCCGAGUGUAGAGGUGAAAUUCGUAGAUAUUCGGAAGAACACCAGUGGCGAAGGCGGCUCGCUGGACAAGUAUUGACGCUGAGGUGCGAAAGCGUGGGGAGCAAACAGGAUUAGAAACCCUUGUAGUCC
rnacentral:rRNA from 1 species